rnacentral:rRNA from 5 species
AUGCAUGUCUAAGUACAAGCCUCACUAAGGUGAAACCGCGAAUGGCUCAUUAAAUCACACCUAAUCUACUGGAUAGUUAACAGUUACUUGGAUAACUGCGGUAAUUCUGGAGCUAAUACAUGCACAAAGCCCCGAACUUACGUGAGGGGCGCUUUUAUUAGAUCAAAACCAAACGGCUUCGGCUGUUCUCUUGGUGACUCUGAAUAACUUUGGGCUGAUCGCAUAGCCUAGCGCUGGCGACAUAUCCUUCGAAGGUGUGCCCUAUCAACUGUCGACUGUGGCAUAGACGCCCACAGUGGUUUUGACGGGUAACGGGGAAUCAGGGUUCGAUUCCGGAGAGGGAGCCUUAAAAACGGCUACCACA